AUGUGCCACGCGUCCACUGCGGUUCCUGCGCACCGACCUGACGCCCGUUCGCUACGUGGUGGUCGCC
rnacentral:sRNA from 1 species